rnacentral:rRNA from 1 species
AACGAACGCUGGCGGCAUGCCUAACACAUGCAAGUCGAACGAAGCCCUCGGGCUUAGUGGCGCACGGGUGCGUAACACGUGGGAAUCUGCCCUUCGGUUCGGAAUAACAGUUAGAAAUGACUGCUAAUACCGGAUGAUGACGAAAGUCCAAAGAUUUAUCGCCGAAGGAUGAGCCCGCGUAGGAUUAGGUAGUUGGUAGGGUAAUGGCCUACCAAGCCGACGAUCCUUAGCUGGUCUGAGAGGAUGAUCAGCCACACUGGGACUGAGACACGGCCCAGACUCCUACGGGAGGCAGCAGUGGGGAAUAUUGGACAAUGGGCGAAAGCCUGAUCCAGCAAUGCCGCGUGAGUGAUGAAGGCCUUAGGGUUGUAAAGCUCUUUUACCAGGGAUGAUAAUGACAGUACCUGGAGAAUAAGCUCCGGCUAACUCCGUGCCAGCAGCCGCGGU